GACGAGGGAUCCUAGCGUUGUUCGGAAUUAUUGGGCGUAAAGCGGGUGUAGGCGGUUUUAUAAGUCAGGUGUGAAAUCCCAGGGCUCAACCCUGGAAGUGCAUUUGAUACUGUAAAUCUUGAAUGUGGUAGAGGUUACUGGAAUUGCUGGUGUAGUGGUGAAAUACGUAGAUAUCAGCAGGAACACCGGAGGCGAAGGCGGGUAACUGGGCCAACAUUGACGCUGAGACCCGAAAGCGUGGGGAUCAAACAGG
rnacentral:rRNA from 1 species